AGUGAGAUAGCUGAGUUAUAUAGGGGCUUCCUUCCUAGUUUUUUGAGGAAUCCCCAUACUGCUUUCCAAAGUGGUUGUACUAUUUUACAGUCUCAUUAAUAAU
rnacentral:pre_miRNA from 1 species